rnacentral:rRNA from 1 species
CCUACGGGUGGCAGCAGUAGGGAAUAUUGCUCAAUGGGGGAAACCCUGAAGCAGCAACGCCGCGUGGAGGAUGAAGGUUUUCGGAUUGUAAACUCCUGUUGUUAGAGAAGAAAAUGACGGUAUCUAACGAAUAAGCACCGGCUAACUCCGUGCCAGCAGCCGCGGUAAUACGGAGGGUGCAAGCGUUACUCGGAAUCACUGGGCGUAAAGAGCGCGUAGGCGGGAUAGCAAGUCAGAUGUGAAAUCCUAUGGCUUAACCAUAGAACUGCAUUUGAAACUGUUAUUCUAGAGUAUGGGAGAGGGAGGUGGAAUUCUUGGUGUAGGGGUGAAAUGCGUAGAGAUCAAGAGGAAUACUGAUGGCGAAGGCGACCUGCUAGAACAUAACUGACGCUGAUGCGCGAAAGCGUGGGGAGCAAACAGGAUUAGAUACCCGAGUAGUC